ACGUUAGCGGCGGACGGGUGAGUAACACGUGGGUAACCUACCUAUAAGACUGGGAUAACUUCGGGAAGCCGGAGCUAAUACCGGAUAAUAUUUCGAACCGCAUGGUUCGAUAGUGAAAGAUGGUUUUGCUAUCACUUAUAGAUGGACCCGCGCCGUAUUAGCUAGUUGGUAAGGUAACGGCUUACCAAGGCGACGAUACGUAGCCGACCUGAGAGGGUGAUCGGCCACACUGGAACUGAGACACGGUCCAGACUCCUACGGGAGGCAGCAGUC
rnacentral:rRNA from 1 species